UCCUGGUUGAGCAAUAAGUUUACAAGAUCUCUAACGCAGGUACGAAAUUUACCUUCAGCAUGAAAGCGUAAGGAGAAACUGAGAUGUAUUUCAACAUUGUUUAUUACAAUAGGAAUGUACUUAAUUAAAAUUUGAGCUCUUCUCAAUGCUGUACUUCCCGAAAGCUAACCUCAAAAGAUUAUCGCCGUUCUAUAAGCAACGCCGUGAUUGUAUUUAGCUUGAGUUGAGCUCGAAAAUAUUUGCUGAAAAUGAUUAAAACGGAUUUAUCUCUAGGCAGUGCCCUUUUCUUCAUUUGUGGGAACUUAAUUAGAUAUUGCGGCCUUUUUUAUCCCGUCACGUAAUGCAUCUUUCUUAUACUGGAAUAAUAAUUGCCUGAAAUGGAAGUGGGGUAUUGCUCUAUUUUCCAAAAUCUGUAAUGGAAAUGCCUGGAUUCAUGCAUUUUUUUGCGUGCCUUGCGAUAAUUGAAUAUUUCAUAGAUCCUUCCUGCGUCUUGUGGAUAUUUACUAAGUACGUAAUAAUACGAGCGAAUUGUAUUGUUUUCAUGGCGUUAUUUAGUUAAGGGGUUAAAAUAACCGCAACGCCCUAAUGGAAUGGUGCAAUGGACAUGAACUCAAUUAUGUUUCAUAAUAUGGAAAAUGACAUUUAAAUGUUACAACUUCAUUACCAGGAAUCUGCAUUGCAUUUCAGUUAGGGUAAAUUGUAUCGUUAUUUUAAAUUACAACCGUUACACCCCGUUUUGCUAGAGAAUUAAUUAAUUCUUUCUUUCAAUUUUGCCAUUAAGAUUUAUAUUGCUAUAGCCACCAGAGUACAAAAAAACGAGUUAGAUUGUCAAUAUCAGCGAACAACUGAAAUCAAAUGCACAACCUGACCCAUACAUUAUUGAUAAGGUUCAUGCAGAUAAAUAAUCCAAAUGAAUUAAAGAAUUUUUGGGUUGUGGUCAUCGUCCCUACCUAAACACUGCUAAAAUUUUAGCACCUAUUUUUCCGAUGAUAACAAAAUACACAGUCUUCUAUCCACUACACGUUGGAGCCCAGAUGAAAGUUCAAAGUUUCGUUCUAAAAGGGAAAAACGUUAAAACUUGCAGCUUUAUGUACGAACUAUCUGUGUUAAAUUAUAAAUCUGAUCACACCACCCUGCUUGAUAUUAUAAUCUUUAGCACUAUACAACCUCCAGGUGAAUUUUAAAUACCCAACUUUAUUUUUGCUUUACAAACUUGUACGCUUUAACAGAGGGGAUACUCGUAACCCCUUUCAACUAUAUCCAAACUUUGUUGUAAUGACACAAGCAAUUUGAUUAUAAAGUGAACUAUUGCGUUUCAGAACUAAUUGUCUGGGGUCAAUUUCCCCAUAAACACGACAUUUCGUUACGUUCUUAAAUUGACGAAUGGCUCCUUAGAGCUUUCGACGGCUAAAAACUUUUCCCUUCCAUCUCGAGGGCCGACAUAUGCGUAAUGAAUAAUGUAAUGUGGUUGCGGUCGUGUAUAUUUUAUGGAAUAGUCGGGCUCUAUUCAAACUAGACACUUAUUCAAUUGCGUAGAAUCGGCGACCCGUAAAACUACGUUUUGCAGAAGUACGUGGAAACAUCUGUGCGUGUGCUCUGAAUAAACUUGUUCGACCGGAAAGGUUUUCAAAGCAUUCAAAAGGAAUAUCUGCGGUAAUUUAUAUGUCCGUCCGUCAGUCCAGACUGAAACUAUACUGAAUAUAUUGCUAUGAAACCACGCAUAAGGCUUAUCAGUGCUACGGGCGGCUUCGUCUUUAUUUAAUUUUAAGUUACCCAAUCAUUAGAUAAAUCCAAAAUUAUUGUUUUUAUUUGAAUGGUUAAGACAUUGUAACAUGGUAAAGGUGUUGUAAAAAAUUUUCUUAUCAAUUUAAAUUACUUGCCAAGUUUUAUGUUCGUAUAGGUAUAGUUUGGCAUGUAUGUUGUAUUGUUUAGAAUCUAGAGAAGCAAAUAAUUGAUAAUAUUCUGUUUAUGUGAUAAGGCAGGUGUGUUAUUAGUACGACACAAAACAUUUGCAUUUUUUAACAGAAAAGUGGAAGUGCUACCGGGUAAGUGAAAACGGUUUUGUUAUCUUAAUGUAAUGGCGGAUACAUUUGAACCGAUACCCUGUUGCGCUCGGCUGAUGGUAGAGCAUGAAUUAUACAAGGGCGCCAGGGCUAUGCGCGGAAGGUACUCUCAGGGUCGUGACGUUAACUAGCCCGUUCUGGUAAUUUGACCAUUAAAUUAUGAACAACGUGAGGUUGUCCGACUGAUCGUGUGAGAUGGAGGUGUGACCUGUCGCGGAGAUCUCUUACAGAAUUCGGAUACCUUAUUGACGGUUUACUUCGGAAGACGGUUGAAGACCUUGACGACUGGAGCUGCUGCUGGAGUUGGAAUAGGAUAGAUUUAUUUUGACUGCUACGUUAGAUGUUGAUUUCCUUACGAGUGCCAAUUCUAGGGCAACUCUAAUAUUUCGAUAGAAAUUAUAUAAUUACUUAAAAGAACCCUGAAAUAUUAAAAAUUAGCUCCAAGCAGCUACAGAUUAAUUUAAUGCAUUACCAGGAUGAACUGGGUUCCAAAUAUAUAGUAUAAGAUUAAAUAAUUAAUUUAGGGUAGCCAUG